rnacentral:rRNA from 1 species
AACGCGAAGAACCUUACCAACCCUUGACAUCCCCUGACCCCUCUGGAGACGCGUCUUCCCCGCAAGGGGCCUGUGGACAGGUGCUGCAUGGCUGUCGUCAGCUCGUGUCGUGAGAUGUCCGGUUAAGUCCCGCAACGAGCGCAACCCUUGCCUUAGUUGCCAGCAUUUAAGCUGGAAACUCCAGGGGAACUGCCCGUGAUAACCGGAAGAAAGGUGUGAAUAACUUCAAUUCCUCAGGGCCCUUACAGGUUGGCCUACACACUGGCUACAUGGGUGGUGACAGUGGUUUAAUCCCCAAAAGGCGUAUCCAUUCCCAUUGUCCUCUGCAAAUCCACGAUCUGAAUCCGGAAUCCCUAUGAAUCAAGAAUCAAUCAUGUCUCGGUGAAUACCUUCCCGGGCCUUGUACACACCG